CACUAGCCGAACGUGGGGGAAUGCCAACGACGGACAGGGCUGUCACCACCUGACGCCAUCCCCUCAACCGUGGACUAGGACAAUGCAUUUACCCGGCCUUUACACCCAAGCACCAUGCUUACAUGCAAAGAACCUACUCGGACUCCCCCGGGUGCCUGACCCUAUGGAUCAACAGGUAAGAAGCCCGAGCCUACUCAAAAGAGCAUGAUAAACCCCCAUCUUCACACAAAGCUAUUUCUAGGCAAUUAAUUAACAUGAAGCAAUUAGACUAAAGUCCUAAGUGAGAAUAAUACAACAUACACCUAGCACUAGUUCAUAUAAUACACUACUAGCCCUAGGGUAGCAUUAUACUAUAAGAACUAUAUACUAAAAUGUAUGUCAUAUCAUUUUCACACCCAAGUUUCUCUCUAAGGAGCUAAGCCCUCCUUGAUAGCUCACCCAACUCUCUCUCUAAAAGCUAAAAGGAAAAACUAAGAAGAGGUAGUGCCCAAGUGCCUUGAAGGUGGAGUGUUGAUAGUGAAUGUGAUGAGAUGAAUGGAGCCUCCCUCUCCCCCUCCUUAAAUAGGUGGGGAAGGUCGGCUCCCCAGGGUGUAAACUGCAAUUUGCACGCGGGGACUACGGGAGGAUAGGCUCAGCACCGCCUCUGCGAAAGGCGGUGCCGUGAUGGGCUGGGCUAGGGUCAGCCGACCCUAGGGGGCGGCCACCUCCUGGUUGGCCCCGCUGGCCCCGGCCCGAAGCCCGUUGCCUUCCUCUCGGGCCCUUGAGUCUAGAUCUACCUGCAAAUUGAUGCACUUCUAUAUUGGGCUUUUGGGUACUUGUUUAUUUGCGCAUUUUUUGACGUGUCGGAUUGCGCCUUUUUAUUUGCUUUCCACCUGUAUGCCUGUAUAUGAUCUGCAAAACACAACUUGCACUACAUGUGGAACUUGGUAAGCAUUUAAUAAGUAUAUGUGGAACUUGCACUACAUGUGGAACUUGGUAAGCAUUUAAUACAUGCUUUUCUUCCUUUGCAUGGACUAUGUUGGCGGGGUAAAUAUGUCAUUAAGAACCGCCAACAAACUCCCCAAAGCUUACCCCUUGCUCGUCCUCGAGCAAGAAGCUAAGAUCUUGGUUGUUGAUCAGGAGUUGCUACAAUAUUUUCACUUCUAUCCAGUACAUACCUUCAAACAUGAAUACUCCUUUGAAUUUUGAACAGAUAUGCCAUGGGGCUUAUUGCUCAUACCUUGAGUCGUUAAGCAUUUGCAGGAUGGAUUUGAUGAGAUCGAGCACUAUAUCCCUAGUUCUUUACUUCACUUUUGUUCCGGAGUUUUUUUUUGAUUUUCAAAACUUAGCACAUUUAUUUGUCAAAUUAAACAAUGGAUCCAAAGAGAAAGUUAAUCAUACCAUUGAAUUUUUGAAAACUUUUUCUUUUCCAUCAUUCUCUUUUUUUCUAUUAGAGGCACAUGGCUAUGUGGCUAAUUCUACUGUUGGGCACUUGCCCAUUUUUUUAUUUUUAUUUUUUUGAGGUUCCGGACACAUGUCCCUUUUUAUUUCCUCGUGAUCUUUCUUUUUGAGGUUUUGGACACAUGUCCCUUUUUAUUUCCUCGGAUGCUUUUUUUUGUUUUUCAUAGCCAUAUGUCUUCUAACAAACUUUUGAGAUGAUAACAUAAUGAAAUAUUUUUGUUUUCAAUGGUAUGACAACCUCUCAAAGGGUCAACAAAGCUUAAUCUAACUCAAUGUGAUUAUUUUAUUUUUGUAAAAACUCCAGAACUCUAGCGUUGUUUAGAACAGGAUACUAGCAGCUCAGAUCAUCACAAAUAUAUCCAUUAAUUACUUUAGACUUUAGAUAGAGCAUUUUGCAACCCACACAUUUAAUCAUUUUAUUAAUUUGGAGAAUUCAAGGUUGAAACUAGAUACUGGAAGGAAAUUACGAUAGAGCAACUAUUCAUCAUUUCAACAAGGAAGAAGCAUAUAUCUUACAUCACAUAUAAGAGUGGAAUUAUAUUUUUGUCUUUUUAGCAUUUUUUCAUUUUUUUAUAUGCAAUAAUUAAAACAUGAAUUUAACUAAUGGAAAUUUCAUAUAGUAAACAUGCUAAUUUAAAAUUAAGGAUGCAUGAAAAUAAAUAUGCAAUGCAGAUAACCUAGGGAUUGGGGGUCCUCCCCCAAGCUAGCUUCUGGCCUACUGAUCGGGGUUAUACCCCAUGUACCGCUAGAAGUCUUGGGACUGUUUCAGCAGCUGAUCUUGGCGAGCUUGCAUUUCAUCUUGCUGCUGCUGGUGCCAGGCCUGUUGUUGCUGUUGCCAUAGCAACCCUUGCUGGUGCCACUCCAUGGCCUGCUGGUGGUGCGCAUCGGUGGUUUGGAUGUGUUGUUGGAGAGUAUCUUGGAUCUCAUCCGUGCGCACCACCAGUCCCCCAAGCUGAGCUUGGAGGCGCUCCAAGUCUGUUCGGCCUACUGUGGAGGCCGAAGGAUGUUCUUCUGGUGAUUCGUCCCUCCAGCGCGAUUGUUGUUCCCAAGCUCUGGAAUCCGCCUCACCCCACCCCUCAACACCUUGUGUCGGCAUGGGUGUGUCCCACCCCGACUGGUAGAUCGGCUGUGUAUAGGAGGGUGGUGGCUGGGAGCUGGAUCCGCCGAUGUCCCUGCCAGAAACAUUACGCUUUCGCGUAGUUUCAGCUGUCUGCAGAUCAAAGGUUAGUCUCCUAGAGUUAUACAAGUGUAGACCUGGGUUAGGUAACCGGAUUACGUUUGUAUAUCCUGGGAAAUAAAACACAAGACCGCCUGCAUUAUCUCUUUUCAAAUGGUGACCUUGGAUAAGAUAGGUUUCAUUAAUCAUGGUGCGUGGAAUUUGAAUAUAAUCAAGAUCUUGCCCUUCCAACGCACCAAUGGCCGUGGCCACACGUGUUAUGGGUGAAGUCAAAGAGAUAGGGGUGGUUGUCUUGAUUAUAUCUAACCAAUGCCUUACAAUUUCUUGCACAGGUGCAACUUUUAUUUUCAUUCUAGCCGCGUAAAGUAACCUCAUUUCAUUUACUCGCACAACGCGGGUAUCCUGGCUAGGAAACAUUGUUAUGGAUAGCCAAAGGUGUAAAAACCUUGGAGUGGGGUGUUGGAUGUGGGCAUUUCUAGGAUAGUAUUUUCCAGUGUGAACUUGCCCCAUGAUUUCUUCCCAAAACUUAUCCUUAUCAAACCCUUUUGUGGCAUGCACUAAAUCAAGAGAGCAUCUUUGAUGAAAACCAAGGUAUUUGCUUAAGUCUUUCCAAAAGAUAGCAUAUUCUUUUCCAAAUAAACGAACAGAAAUACCUUCAUAUGUUUCUCUUAAAGUGCAUAGAAAUUGAAUGGUAAAUGUAUAGGAUCCAUACUCAGUUAUGGGGUGAAUGUUGUCCCACCCGGUGGCAUUCCAUAUGGAGAGAAAUUCAUAGUCCAUACCGAUGUCGGAGAGGAGCGAGUCGUCGUAGACCGGCGUAUGGAGGAAGAUCCGGUCCUUGAGCAUGUUGUAGGCUUGAUGUUCUCGAUCACCCACCAAGUCGAACUGGUUGUUGACGGUCCUUAGUGCUCACAUUUAACCAUCAACUAAUCAUGGAAAAUGAUCUAAAUGGAACCAACACCUAGAUUUAGGGUUUUAUCUGACAGAAUUCCACGAGUUUUGGUGUUUGUCUAUUUCUGCAGGGGGUUAUCAGGAAAUACGGAAUAAAGGCCCACACGUCGGGUUUACAUAGAGAUAUUUACGUGGUGUGCAAUUUUCUAUCAUCUAGAAGACUCCAGAAGGCAUGGGAACAAAGCGGAAGCCGAGAGGACUCAGGGACAGGGCGCCCGCCCUACUCUCCUGGGCGCCCGCCCUCACAUAGAGUCCAAUCAGGAUUCUCUUUCGGGAUAUUGCUCCACCGACCUAAAGGAUCAAGGAUAACUGUUCAAUCAAUGUUGGUUUGAUCCAACGGCUCAUAUUCACUACAAGGGAGUAUAAACCAGACCCUCUGGCCCCUGGAGAUCAUACCUCUUCUACAGAAUCAAAGUUAGGGUUUCAAUUCUUCAUCCAAGUAGAGAGGAUCCCUCUAGUUCUUCUAGUUCUACCUCUAGUUCAUUUAGUUCUAGUUCUAGUUCAUCUAGUUCUAGUUCUAGUUUCUCUAGUUCUAGUUCUAGUUAGUUCUAGUUGUAAUCUAGAAAAUAGGGAGAGAGAAGAGGAGAGCGGAGGAGGAGCUGGAUCUGUCGGAUCUUCCUCAACAUUGUACUUUUGCAGCAACUGGUUCGUUCUUCAUCGUUCUCCAGGUUCUUCAAUUCAUAAUUCCUGAGUUCUCUCAUUACUUUUAUUUACAUUCAAGUUAUUUAUUCGAUUCCCACUUGCAUCAAGUGCUCUAGUCUUUAUAACGCUAGAGUAGGAAUUAGUAGAUUAGACGUGGUGUUUAGUCUUGCAAUUACAUGGAAUUGCACCCAAUCGUGCGGAUUGUUGUGGUAGCCUUAGGGUAGUGACAGCCCUAACGGUCGACGUAUUCCACCUCGUUCGGAUCGGUGUUUGUAGGACCGUAGUCAUACCUUCGUAGCCCCCUUCUCAUCUCUUUCUGUGGUUAGUGCUCUGAUGUCCCGAUAUAGACAAUCUUGAAGUAAUUCUUGAUUCUUAGAUCAACUAGAGAACACUCAGGAAACUUCCUCUCUUCCCACCAAAAACAAUUAUAUAGUUACCUUGGGCGAUCUAGAUUCUUAAUUAGUCCACUCACAUUCUCUCUGGAAUACUUCCGGAUGAAAGCUACAUCGGUAUCCGUGCGCUUGCGGAUUUUUCUAUUUGCGUUUAAAAUACCCAACAAGCUUUCUGGCGCCGUUGCCGGGGAACGGUAGCUGUGCUAGUUUUGAACCAAGUCAUCCGUGUAUCCUUCUUCUUUUCCUUUUUUAACACACUCACCUUACCAUUUUCACCACACCACAUGGAUUUCACUCUAAGCAUUAAUGAGCAUGGAAUUUAUUUCAUAGCCACUUCAGUUACUCCAUGCUCAUAUGCAACAUCUUUCCAAUCCAUUGGUUUUUCCAACAUCACCACAUUCGAGAUCUCCAACCCCCUCAUCCUUUCUAUUUAUAAAUACUUUAAAAGGACGGUUGUCGAUGCAUAUGUCUACAUUAAAUAUUGUAGAUCUCGUCCCGACGUGAAUCAUUGAUGGGGGUUUCCUGUGGAUUCUUAAAAUACAUUCUAGACAAGUGACCAGCAACAGAAUUUUCUACUCCCUUUUUAUAUUUUAUUUCCAUGUCAAAUUCUUGAAGUAAUAAGAUCCAUCUAAUUAGGCAGGUUUAGCAUCUUUUUUAGUGAGCAGAUAUUUUUGUGCAGCAUGAUCAGUGUACACAGUUAUUUUAGCUCCAACUAAAUAAGAUCUAAAUUUAUCAAUGGCAAAGACAACAGCCAGAAGCUCUUUUUCAGUGGUUGCAUAAUUAAGUUGAGCUCCUGUCAAAGUUUUACUAACAUAAGCAAUUGCAUGAUGCUUCUUAUUUUUAGUUUGUCCCAAAACUGCCCCCACAGCAUAAUCACUAGCAUCACACAUAGUUUCGAAAGGCAACGACUAAUCAGGGGGUUGAAUGAUUGGUGCAGAGAUGAGUGCAUUCUUUAAUAAAUUGAAAGAUGUUAGGCAUGCAUCAUAAAAUUCGAAAGGAGCAUCCUUGGCUAGCAAAAGAGUAAGUGGUCUAGCAAUGAAUGAAAAAUCUUUUAUGAAUCUGCGAUAAAAACCAACAUGGCCAAGAAAGCUUCGAAUUCCUUUUAUAUUCAAAGGUGGAGGUAGUUGUUCAAUUACUUAAAUUUUAGCUUUGUCUAUGUCAAUACCUCUUUCAGACACUAGGUGUCCCAACACUAUUCCUUCCCUAACUAUAAAAUGACAUUUUUCCCAAUUAAGGACUAAGUGCUUUUCUUCACAUCUUUGCAAAACCUUGUCUAAGUUUUCAAGACAACUAUCAAUAGUUUUUCCAUAUACUAAGAAAUCAUCCACGAAAACUUCCAUAAACUCUUCAAUCAUAUCAGAAAAUAUAGACAUCAUGCAUCUUUGAAAAGAUGUUGGUGCAUUACAUAACCCAAAAGACAUUCUACGGUAGGCACAAGUUCCAUAUGGGCAUGUAAAAGUCGUUUUGCUUUGAUCAUCAGGAUGAAUCGAGAUCUGGUGAUACCCUGAAUAUCCAUCUAAGAAACAGAAGAACGAAUGGUUCGCUAAUCGCUCUAGCAUCUCAUCCAUGAAAGGUAAAGGAAAAUGAUCCUUUUUCGUGGCGUUGUUCAGUUUUCUAUAGUCUAUGACAAUCCGCCACCCUAUGACGGUGCGUUGAAGAAUUAGCUCGUUCUUUUCAUUUGUAACGACAGUCAUGCCUCCCUUUUUAGGCACAACUUGCACUGGGCUCACCCACUCACUGUGCGGCACAGGAUAUAUAAUCCCUGCUUGCAGCAACUUUAGAACUUCCUUUUUAACUACCUCUCUCAUCGCAUUGUUAAGUCUUCGUUGGGGCUCUCGAGAGGGUGAAACAGAAUGAUCUAUCGGAAUACAACGGGUACAAAUCAUAGGACUGAUUCCUGUAAGAUCUUGGUGUGACUAGCCGAAAACUGAGUGAUGUUUCUCAAGAAUGGUCAUUAAUCGCAGAUUUUGCUCCUGAGUGAGUUUAUCACUAAUGAUCUGAAGCGCCCCUGGUAAACCAGGAACUCAAAUGUCAUACAAUACUGUCCUAGGAGGCUAGUAACAAAUUUAUUACAUCAGAUAAGUUUUAGCGCAGUAGUCUCGAUAAGCGUGGACAAUGAAGGCAUGCUAUAAUAAUAAGACACCAAAAUACAACAUAGGUCCAAAGGACCCAGAAACAAACGAUAUCACAACCGAACAUCUGACAAGUCCCAAUGCCACUGGCUUAGUUGGGUGCAGACACGACCUUACUCGAACGCCACUUUGGGAUCAAAGUCUAGAUCUUCCUCUGUUUAAUAAAGCAAGGGUGAGUACAAAGUACUCAACAAAUCCAACCUUACCCUACGGAAGGGGAUAACAAUAUACAUGCAUAUGGAUAAAUCAAGGAUGAGGCUUAGUUUUAUUUGCAUAAAGCUAUCUUUUUACACAUGCAAGGUUUCAUUUCACAACUACUAUUGUAAAAGAACUCUUUUUCCACAUAUGAUAGUAUUUCUAAAAAUGGGGGUUUGAUCACAAUUUUAAGUGUUGUUGAACCCUUGUUCCCACAACACAAUGGAAGUCAACCAUUUAUUUCCAAAAUCACACUCACUCUCAUGUUUUCACUCAUCCCAACCCAUCUAGUUGUUGAAACCAAACCAUAACCCAUCCAAGACCGCGGACACGGCUAUCUAGAUAGAUUUACACUCUACAGAGGUUAUACACUUUUCCCACAAGUAGGAUACCAUAACUUACACCGUCGUGUAAGCACAGAUCCAUCAAAGUCAUUAAUCUCCAUAGCUAAGUAAUGGCGCUUACCACAGGAACACUAAGGCCACAUCUCAUGACACCACAAUAAUUCAUAAAGUUCUUUUCAUAUAUUUCCACAUACAUGUUGACGGUCCUUAAUGCUCAUAUUUAACCAUCAACUAAUCAUAGAAAAGGAUCCAAAUGCAACCAACACCUAGACUUAGGGUUUUAUCUGACAGAAUUCCACAAGUUUUGGUGUUUGUCUAUUUCUGCAGGGGGUUAUCAGGAAAUACGGAAAAAAGGCCCACACGUCGGGUUUACAUAGAGAUAUUAACGUGCCGCACAAUUAUCUACCAUCUAGAAGAGUCCAGAAGCCACGGGAGCGAACGGGAGACGUAACGGAGUCGGGCACUGGGCGCCCGCCCUCCCUUACUGGGCGCCCGCCCUCCCCCCUGGACCAAUCAGGGUGAAGUUCGGGGAUCAUGCUCCACCGACCCAAUACUUCAAGGAAAACCACACGAUCAAUGUCGGUUUGAUCCGACGGCCCAGAUUCACUUGAAGGGACUAUAAAACCAGACCCCCCUGGCCCCUGGAGAUCAUACCUCUUCUACAGAAUCAAAGCUAGGGUUUCAAUUCUUCAUCCAAGUAGAGAGGAUCCCUCUAGUUCUUCUAGUUCUACCACUAGUUCAUCAAGAUCUAGUUCUAGUUCAUCUAGUUCUAGUUCUAGUUCCUCUAGUUCUAGUUCUAGUUAGUUCUAGUUGUAAUCUAGAAAAUAGGGAGAGAGAAGAGGAGAGCGGAGGAGGAGCCGGAUCUGUCGGAUCUUCCUCAACAUUAUACUUUUGCAGCAUCUGGUUCGUUCUUCAUCGUUCUCCAGGUUCUUCAAUUCAUAACUCCUGAGUUCUUUAAUUACUUUUAUUUACAUUCAAGUUAUUUAUUGGAUUCCCGCUUGCAUCAAGUGCUCUAGUCUUUAUAACGCUAGAGUAGUAAUUAAUAGAUUAGACGUGGUGUUUAGUCUUGCGAUUACCUGGAAUUGCACCCAAUCCUACGGAUUGUUGUGGUAGCCCUAGGGUAGUGACAGCCCUAACGGUCGACGUAUUCCACCACGUUCGGAUCGGUGUUUGUAGGACCGUAGUCAGACCUUCCUAGCCCCCUUCUCAUCUCUUUCUGUGGUUAGUGCUCUGAUGUCCCGAUAUAAAUAAUCUUGAAGUAAUUCUUGAUUCUUAGAUCAACUAGAGAACUCUCAAGAAACUUCCUCUCUUCGCACCAAAAAUAAUUAUAUAGUUAUCCUUGGGCGAUCUUGAAUCUUAAUUAGUACACUCACGUUCCCCGUGGAAAAUCGAUACUCUGGAAUACUCCCGGGUGAAAGCUACAUCGGUAUCCGUGCGCUUGCGGAUUUUUCUGUUUGCGUUUAAAAUACCCAACAAGCUUUCUGGCGCCGUUGCCUGGGAACGGUAGCUGUGCUAGUUUCGAACCAAGUCGUCUGUGUAUCCUUUUUCUUUUCCUUUUUUACCACACUCACCUUAUCAUUUUCACCAUACCACAUGGAUUUCACUCUAAGCAUUAAUGAGCAUGGAAUUUAUUUCAUAGCCACUUCAUUUACUCCAUGCUCAUAUGCAACAUCUUCACAAUCCAUUGGUCUCUCCAACAUCACCACAUUCGAGAUCUCCAACCCCCACUUCCUUUCUAUUUAUAAAAACUUUAAAAGGGCGGUUGUCGAUGCAUAUGUCUAUAUUAAAUAUUGCAGAUCUCGUUGAAUUGAUCUUGAUAUAGGUCAGCGUUGGAGGGGAAACCACUUCGCCGACAUAAAUUGAUGGUUUCCCAAGGACAAGCUUAGUGUCCUAAAACAAGCACUGAUUAGAUCGUAACAUGAGCUUUUAAGUAUUUGCAACAUUACCUUGUGUAUUGAGCAUAUAAGGAUAAUUGUAAAAAAAUUCCUUCGGGUAUUCUUGUCACUAACCUUUCUAGGUUUGGAGCAAGAAGAUCGGAUGAAUGACAAGCACAAGGUAUGUCCAACCAAUCAUCAUACAACAUUGAAUUAAAUUCAUCCAAACUUGAAUUUUGCAAAAUUCAAGCUUGGGGGAGUACUUUAUAUAAAAACAUUAUUUGCCAUGUUGCUAUGUUGGUUGUCCCUACCUUUGGGACAUGCUCAAUUUGUUAAAUAGUAAUCACACUACUUCAUCUCCACUUGAGUAGAUCUCUAUAAAAGCCAUCACGCUACCUUUGUUUAUCCUAGUAAGUGUUAGUUUGGAAGUACUGUACAUACUUCUAUUGGUUUUUAAAUUAAGCAUGGUGCUUAGGUUAAACAGCCUUCCUUAAUCUAAUUAGACAUGGAGUCUAGUUUGGUUAUUGAACUAAAAACUGCUUGUGUAGACAUUGGUAUAUUUUGUUGGACUAACUCCUGCAGGAAAACUUUCAAUAUCGACCUGGGAAGUCCUGAGAUAAACUCAUAUUGGAGACAAAGAGAGACACACAUGAAGUUUAACAAUUUACUCAAGGAAGGCAUAGCUCACAAGAGAUGAUCCAUGGAGGUGCCACAAACACGAUGCACAACCGCUAAGAGAGGAAAGCUUCCACAACGUGAUACUGUACCAUCACUCUUCAAGUAAGUUAUGAUCUUAUUAUCCAUCAACUUUGUUUUGCUCACUAUGCUUAAGGUUAGAGAAGAACAAAUACACUUUUGGUUCUGUUGGUGUUUUCCACCAACAGGGCCCAUGCACUUGAUCUCUGCCUUGUCUCUAUGAGUAGGUACACUUCGAGCAAAAUAUGAAGGAGUUUUACAACUCCCAGACUCCACCAAGUGAAUAACCUAGAUAUAUGAGCACAAACAUGCUGGAGAUACUGGACACUCAUGCAAACACUGCCCUGAGAUGCUUGAGGAUGUAACUACUGGAGUAACCCCGUUGUGGAAGUAAUUACUGACCUUCUGCCGGUCAAGAGAGACAAUCUAGGACGCCCCGUCAUCCCAAUCUCCAUCGGCGUGGUGGACUUCCUAGAAGCACUCUGCGACUUUGGCUCCAGCGUCAACAUUAUACCUAGGGGAAGCCAUUCCUGAACACCUCGGGAGCUUUCAUCUACGUUAGUGCUGCCAAAAUCAGUUUCUACAUCAAGGGGAGGAAGGAGACGUUUUCCUUCAAGAAACAAGACUACACAAAUCCCAGAGCAAUCCCGACAUGAACCAAGGAAGAGGACCAACAGGAGGAACAAGAACAAGUAAAUGUGUACCGAGUCAACUAAGAUGGUCACUGCAGCUCAAGGAGGUCAAGAUCGUCAACUCAAGUCACCUUUCUUGAUCAAGAAGGACGACCCUGGUGUCCCAAGCAUCGAGUGCACAAUCAACGGAUAUUCUUUUCAGAAGACACUCUACGACACCGGAUCUAACGUCAACAUAAUGGCCGCAGUCACUUAUCAGCUCCUGCAUGGAACCAUGUCCCUACAACCAACAUACAUUCCGCUCCAGAUGGCAGAUCAGACAUUCUGAAAGAUUGAAGGUUAUUGACAUGGGAGAAGACGAAUACAAUCCACCCAUCACCCUUGGAAGACCGUUCCUCAGCACUGUUAAAGCAAUCAUCUACAUUGGAACUGGAGAAGUCCACAUGCACUUCCCCUUUGAGAAGGUACGCUGCUAUUUUACUGACCCUAACCAUAUGGUUGAAGACUCUAAGUAGGUCAGGACAAGAAGAAGACGACGCAACCGCAACUAGAGGAGGCAAAUCAUCAAGGACGGAUGGGCAGACUACGAAGGAGAAGUAGUGAGGUCUGAAGACAUACAGCUUGAACAGAACUGUCCUGAGGAGACCGUAGCACCGAGUCAGGUGUGGAGAGAGAAGAUAGUUAUACACGAAGAGCAGGCGUCGCCGGAACCACCGACUACGCCAUCCAGCGAAUCCCAGGACGAAUGAGAAAAUGGAGAGUCCCGUUCGGAGGACUUAAAAACACCGAACGCCUUGCCAAGAGGUAAACUUGGUAGUUAUCUUUUUCCUUUCAAUUUAGUUUGCUUAGUUAAUCAGGUUCACAUCAUCUUAAAAAGAAAAUAAAAAUGUUAAAAAUAGUAAGCCCCAUGUGAGUAUGCUCAUGGCAUAAAACCCAUAAGUACAUUCACUGUGGUGGCGUAAAAAUAAAUAUAUAUUCCUGUCCUGUAAAAAUGAAAAUAUAAAUAAGAUUGUGAUCCUACUAAAGAGAGUAACAUUUAUUGAGGAGGCUCAACAUCAUAAAGGCUAGAUAUUUAUGCUAACACUUAACUAGUUCCACAAAGCUUUGUUGUCUAUUUGAGCUCCACAGAAUUCAAGGAUCAAAGAAGACUAGCAGACGGAGGACAUCCUAAUCACUGUCAGGGUGCUGCUGACAUUCAAAUACACCUCCACCACCUACUAGCUACAUCAAAAGAAAUUAUGUCAAAAUCCAGCUUGGGGGAGAGCACCCCCAUUUAUUCAGCUAAGUGUUCUACUCGCAUUUAUAUUUUACUCAAAUAAUAAAAAGAUGCAUAAUCAUAAAAACCCAAAUAAAGAUUUUGUGCUUAUAUAUAUAUAUAUCUUUGCUUAGCUUGCUAAAUAAAUAAAUAAAGUUUGCUAUGAACCCUCAUGAUAAGCUCUCAUAUGGAAAUGAUGAAUAGUUGCUCUGCCAUGACUAGUUCCUAAUAUUGAAAUCUCUCUCAAGUUUAGGCAUAACUGUUAUGAAUUAAGAUUUGCUCUAAACCUGAACUUGUGGGGAGAGUACUUGAUCUGAAGUCUAAGUCGUUAACGGAUAUGAUAUGGGAAGGUUGAGCUGCUGUUUAUCUGUUACUAGAGAUGCUAGAAUUCUGGAGAAUUUUAUCUUUGAAAAAAUCUUUAAAAUGUUGCAUGAUGAGUUCCUGUAUGAUGAGAGUUUAAAUUCCUACCACAGCCAGAUAUACAUGCUUGCUAGACUUUGAGCCACACAUUUACUUUUUACUGCUUAUGAGCAUUGAGUGUGGUCAAGCUGUGUAGACCCUUAGGAGCUUGUCAUGUGGUUAAAUCAAGAUUCACUUGCACGUUCACUCACACAUGCUGCUUCUACUCAGGAAGUACCAUCCACAUAUAUCCAUUUCCAUCUCCAGAACCACCCAAAAAUAUUCUACUCCUAAACUGGGAGAGAAUAUCCAAAAACAUUUCUGUUUUUCCCCUGUGAAAUAAAUGCUCAAGUUAUCUUGGUUACUACCACUUGCUACAUUAUUUCAAGAGAUGAGUGCUCUAAAAAAAACAGAAAAAAAGAGAAAAAAAAAGAUACGAGGAAAUCAAAAGGGGCAAGUGCCCGGAACCUCGAAAGAAAAGAAAAAGUGAGACGAGAGGUAAAAAUGGACAAGUGUCUGACAGUAGAAUUAGGGGUACAAGAUACCCACUUGAGAAAAAAGAAAAAAAUAUAGAGCAUCUCAUUCUCCUCAAAAAGUUUUAAAAGAGCAAGGAAGGUAUGUAUCCCCUCAAAAGAGCAAAAGUAGAAUUAGACUUUCACCAUUGUUAUCACCAUCAUCACCAUACACCAUUCAUUCGCCACACAUGCACAUCUUGAUUUGACUUAUUGACUUGUUCUUCUGGAUCCAUGGUUUGACUAUGCAAUAAAUGUCUUGUAAGUAUGUAUUAGCUGCCUCCCACCUAUGAGCUCCAGAUAUUAAAGCCUUAUUAGAGUAGGGUGAGAGAAAAGGCAAUGCCACUAAGCCUCAUACCAAAAAUACCACAUACUUUGAGAGAAUGCAUACACUAUUACUGCCUUGGUAAGGAUCCAGAAACACCACAAAAGAGAGACUAGAGAGAGUCAUACAAGGAAUCUCUGAGUUUUAUUUGAAAAUCUGCAAAAACUCCAGAGCUAUAGUUAAUCGAAGAAUAAGAGACAUGGUGCUUGACUAGACUGUUCUAUCUUUUAACUACUCAAGACAGAAGUGAUGGUUACAAGUCCCAUGGUGAAAGGUAAAUGAGUAAGUUUUAAGUCUUAACAGUUUACUCUAACCAGAGAUGAGAUCUUGUUUAAACGCAUGUGUAUCUUUAAGUUAUGAAACCACUGCAGAAACUCUUGAGUUUAUCUUUGCUCAGCGACGAGCAAAGGUUAAGCUUGGGGGAGCUUGUUGACGGUCCUUAAUGCUCAUAUUUAACCAUCAACUAAUCAUAGAAAAGGAUCCAAAUGCAACCAACACCUAGACUUAGGGUUUUAUCUCACAGAAUUCCACAAGUUUUGGUGUUUGUCUAUUUCUGUAGGGGGUUAUCAGGAAAUACGGAAAAAAGGCCCACACGUCGGGUUUACAUAGAGAUAUUAACGUGCCGCACAAAUUUCUACCAUCUAGAAGAGUCCAGAAGCCACAGGAGCGAACGGGAGACGUAACGUAGUCGGGCACUGGGCGCCCGCCCUCCCUUACUGGGCGCCCGCCCUCCCCCCUGGACCAAUCAGGGUGAAGUUCGGAGAUCAUGCUCCGCCGACCUAAUACGUCAAGGAAAACCACACGAUCAAUGUCGGUUUGAUCCGACGGCCCAGAUUCACUUGAAGGGACUAUAAAACCAGACCCCCCUGGCCCCUGGAGAUCAUACCUCUUCUACAGAAUCAAAGUUAGGGUUUCAAUUCUUCAUCCAAGUAGAGAGGAUCCCUCUAGUUCUUCUAGUUCUAUCUCUAGUUCAUCUAGAUCUAGUUCUAGUUCAUCUAGUUCUAGUUCUAGUUCCUCUAGUUCUAGUUCUAGUUAGUUCUAGUUGUAAUCUAGAAAAUAGGGAGAGAGAAGAGGAGAGCGGAGGAGGAGUCGGAUCUGUCGGAUCUUCCUCAACAUUAUAAUUUUGCAGCAUCUGGUUCGUUCUUCAUCGUUCUCCAGGUUCUUCAAUUCAUAACUCCUGAGUUCUUUAAUUACUUUUAUUUACAUUCAAGUUAUUUAUUGGAUUCCCGCUUGCAUCAAGUGCUCUAGUCUUUAUAACGCUAGAGUAGUAAUUAAUAGUUUAGACGUGGUGUUUAGUCUUGCGAUUACCUGGAAUUGCACCCAAUCCUACGGAUUGUUGUGGUAGCCCUAGGGUAGUGACAGCCCUAACGGUCGACGUAUUCCACCACGUUCGGAUCGGUGUUUGUAGGACCGUAGUCAGACCUUCCUAGCCCCCUUCUCAUCUCUUUCUGUGGUUAGUGCUCUGAUGUCCCGAUAUAAAUAAUCUUGAAGUAAUUCUUGAUUCUUAGAUCAACUAGAGAACUCUCAGGAAACUUCCUCUCUUCCCACCAAAAAUAAUUAUAUAGUUAUCCUUGGGCGAUCUUGAAUCUUAAUUUGUACACUCACGUUCCCUGUGGAAAAUCGAUACUCUGGAAUACUCCCGGGUGAAAGCUACAUCGGUAUCCGUGCGCUUGCGGAUUUUUUCUGUUUGCGUUUAAAAUACCCAACAAUACAUCACUUAGUGUCCCAUUGCACACCUGCCUCCAGGUGGUUGCCAUACUAACUAGAGGGAUUUAGGCUAAGCCUUUCCCAUGCAAGGCGAGUGGUUGUACGAUAAAUGAGUUAGGCAAGAUGAAUCAUCAACUCAGUCCUUAAUCGAGACAAGGCGGAUAUCUUCACACUUAACCCCACAAGGUAUAAGCCACAACACCAAGGCAUCCCCAAAAGAGAUCCCAUCUGCCCCAUCACUAUAGUAAUCACAUCUAUAACUUGUUCAUUAACCCUUUCACAAUACCCACAAUUUAUUUUCACCACUCACGCAGUUUUGUUUUUUGUAUUUGAGAAAAUGUAGUGAUGAGUAUCCAGGAUGAGUGACAAUUCCUAAGCAUACUAAAUAAUAAUAUUUCUGUCAUAGCAUAUUAUUUGUUCCUAGGUUCGAAUAAGACAAUUACUGGGUAAUAUUAAUUCAAGGAUGGUUAUUCAACAGGUUUUAACUAAUCAGCGAAAAUACUUCGUACAUAUAUCGUACAUGCAAUAUUUAAAACGGCUUCUAUGGGUUGUGUUUAAAAAUAGGAUCAAUAUGCAUCAAAUGAAAUUGGUUGGACUUGCCUCCGUCGGUGUUCUCGGCAAACUCCUGCUGACAGUCCGGGUCCUCGGCGUCAAACUCGCGGUACUCGUCUCCAACGUCCGCGUUUUCCGGCUCGUUCACUCCGUCAGCUAAAAUACGCGACGACCGACACAGACAACAAGCACAGAGACACAGACAAAUAUAAGGAGAGAUAUAGAAAAAAAAUACUAUAGAAAGACAGAGAAGAGCAAGGAGAUGCUCAUGAGCUGCCCACCUCGUCUUGCGACGACAGUCGAGCUCGGCUUGUGCGUAUGGCCGUAUACGUUAUACGCGAAGUGAGAGCGAGUGAGCGUGUGAGCGAGCGUGAGUGAACGUGCUACUUUGGGUGUCGAGAGUGAGCACCCAAGGCUGACUUUUUAUAGGCCAGAUUAGUGAGCUUAUUGUUGAUAUUUGGGAACGCAAUAAGGAAUUGAUCCGCAAGCGCACAGAUAUCGGUGAGCACUUCACCCGGGAAAUUAUCCAGAGUAUCGUAUUUAUUUUUUUACCACUAGGAGAAAGAGUGCAUCUGACUAACCUGUCUAUUACUACUAACCUUUAGGCACAAAGAAUGUCUUUCGAUGUGAGUGAUAAAUAGAGAAGACUGCAACUGUAGUCUCCUUCUAACCUUGGUAAGGAUGAUCUACUGUUCUAAUGGGGAGGCUAACGGAAUCUAGACACCACAAAGGAUGUUCGACCCGCACCUAUAAACCCUAUCCUUCCUGCUAACGAGAUGUGAUCUACAAAGGUAGCUCGGAAUUGUCACGUUCCUCACUACUACCACGGUCCAGCUAGUCAGGGAAUAUCUAUGAGUACCCCAGCCUAAACACCACGUUUACGCCAGCAAUGAUUACUCUAAACUCUACGCGAAGAGAUUAAAGUAAACUCAUAAACCAUAAGAACAAUAAAACAAGAACUUACUAGAAUUUAGAAGUCGAAUUACUGAAGAAUCCUAGGAGCAAGCUUCGGGUUAGGAGAACUUGAUCCCGCAGGUACAAGCUUGGAGUAGACACAGACAGGCCGGGCUUCCUCCACUCUACACCUCCACUCUAUCUCUCUCAAUCUAGUAGAAACUAGAAGAUCUAUUUCUACCUUACAUUGAUUGCUAAGCCUAAAAAGAAAUAUUAAUUAGAGAAGAGGUUUUCCUUCGAGGGCACCCCUCAGUCUCUAUGAUAAUUUCUUCAUGUCUUCUCCAGGGGCCAGGGGGCCUUGCUUAUAUAGUCCUCCCCUUCUAUGCGUUUUUGGGUCGAUAGCCGAGGUGGUACUAUGUUUUUCUUGAUCCAAUAGGUCGGUGGAAUAUCCUGAACGAAAGAGUCCUGAUUUGGCUCCAGCAGGGGGGCGGGCGCCCAGGCUACCAGGGCGGGCGCCCUAGGCCUGGCCCAGUUUUGCCUCCGCUUCAGUCUCGUGGCUUCUGGAGUCUUCUAGAUGAUGUAAAAUUGCGCGGUGCGUUGAUAUCUCUAUGUAAUCCCGACAUGUAGGCCUUUCUUCCUUAUUUCCUGAUAACCCCCUGUAGAAACAGAUAAACAACAAAACUCGUGGAAUUCUGUUAGAUCAAACCCUAAUUCUAGGUGUUGUUUGCAUAUUGGUCCUUUCUCUUGUUUAUUUGAUAAUUAAAAUUGAUACUUAAGAACCGUCAACAAAUACCCCCAUACUUAGGCUUUUACUCAUCCUCGAGAAAAGGAUGGUUAAGAAAAAUAUCUGGGGUAAAACAUUUAAAACAUUCUCUUUAUAUAAUUGCAGGGUGUUAAAAUUCCACUAUGUACCAAAGUCAGGGAUGUUUAUGGUUAAGAGUAAAGAUCCUUUCUUCUCAAUCCUGUCACUUGGAGUUUUUGUUAUAUUUUUGAAAGAAAGUUAGCAUACCUUUUUAUCCUCAUUGGUUCUCUCAGAUCACUCAUUAUCUUUUAUAUAUAUCUCACUGAGGUUGUUUUAUUUUUGCAAAAAUUCUCAAGCAUUCUUACUUUGCAUUUAUUGCCUGAUCAAAACGGGAUGCGAGGAGGGGAAUGUCAUACUCUUAGAUCCAAGACUUUGGAAAUUAAAAUCUUUGUCAACUCUUGCUGGCAUAUUGCUUAUUAGAGGGACCAUGGGCUAUCAUUUUCAUUUCAUCAUUUUUUUAAGUGGAUACCGAGGUACCCCUAAUUCUACUGCCGGACACUUGUCCAUUUUUUCUGCGAGGUUGUCGAGCACUUGCUCCUUUUUAUUUCCUUGAAAUAUUUUUAUUUUUGCAUGCCUAUGCCUCUAAUGCAAUAAUACUUCGGAAGAGUGAAUCUUUCUGAAAUAAUGUCUUGAUCUUAGGAGCAUGAUAAAUCUCUCAACAAGGGUCUAACUCAUUUUGAACAAACUCAAUACAGAGUAGAUAGCUUUAUAAUCAUCAUUAAUAUUUUUAUUUUUAUCAGGCAUAUAAAACACUGAGGAUGGUAGCUAGAAUUUUGAAUAUUUUGAAAUAAAUUCUCCAAGCAACAAUGAUAUCAAGAAUAAGAAACUCAUACUCUACCAUCACAUAUUCCAUAUUGACUUGAGUAACACAGGGUUUUAAAAUGAUUUUAUAAUAAUUGCAAGUUUUCAGGAAAUAUCACAGAUUGAGAUUAAUCAUGAUUAGAAAUAUUUUAAUCUUUUUAUUUUAUCAUGUCGGAAACAGUAAUCUGCAUAAUCCAAAAUAAAUGUAUGUAUGAAGUAAAGUGUGCAGAGUGUGUACCUGAAUCGUGGAGUGGUGUAGUCGGAGUGUGUUUGGCAUGUUAAGGGAUCUCCCCCAUACUUGUUUUCUGCUUUCUUGCACAAAAAUAAAGUAGAGACACACAAGACAUAAUAAUAAUAGUAAUACUCUUUAUUGAUCUUGAGGCAUUUAGUACAAAAGACUGAUAACAAACUGAUAAUAAUAGUAAACUGAUGAUAAUAGUAAACCUAAACCGAAUUUAAAGAUAAAUGACUAAGAUGCAUUGCCUCAAGGUCUAAUCUAGAUAACUUAACGGCGCUCUAAUUCCUUGAUCUUCUAGUUGGAACUGGCAAGAUCCUGCCUAAGGCCUAAUAUAACGGUUUUGUGGUUAGAGAGCUGCCUAGUGAGGGAAUUAAUCGAGGACUGGAGGUCUAUGAUAACUCUAUCUAGCCUGCGAACUUCCUCAUCAAUAUCCAUUAUAGUCUUGCGACGCUUGAGAGGUGUCUCAAAAGCAUUGAGAGAGUGCUUCGGGGCUGCCUUUGGAGGGAUGAAACGGACUUUGGAUGCUCUAAUCCCUUCAAAGUAAGGCCUUUCCUCCUCCGUAGUGUAUCGAACGCUGUUGAUCUCGCCGCUCCGGUUGGUCUUGACUCCAACGACCCUCUCAUUGGGUCUAGGUGGAAGGAUCCUUGUACCGAUUGGUACCUUGAUAGUGGUCUUCGUCUUGGAUGAUGGUCCUUUGAGGAGUAGGGGUUGUGGUGGUGCGGUGAGAACUGGUUGAGCAUGGUAGGAUUGGGCGGAGCUGCGUUGGCGUAAUGGCAUGGCUUCUAGUUGUCGCUCUGUGUUGGCCGGGACGAGAGCACGGGCAUCGGGGUCUUCCACUGGCUCCAUGUUGAGGUUGAAGGGGACGACUUCCCAAUCAUCGUGGUACUUCUCGGCCAUUGGAGUAGCAAGGAACUAAUAAAAUUUUAAUUGAAGUAGAGCUAAUUAAGCUCUAAUUGAAGGAGAGAAAGCUUGGUGGCUUGGUGUCUGAAAACUGAGGUCAGGGGUCUGUUUAUAUAGGGGUCAAAAGGAUGCCUCUAUGGGUUGUUCGGGUUGCUCCCGUCGAUGUGCGUGCGAAACUUUCCAUCCGAGGGAUUAUUCGGAUCACCCUAAGUGCAUUUUCCAUAUCAGAGAAAGUCGGGACCGAGGGGGAACAGGGGCUGGGCGCCCGCCCACUUGGCCUGGGCGCCCGCCCUCUCUCUGGCUCCUCUGUGGGCCCACUUUUCCGAGCGCGUUUCUAGAUGCGAAAUUAUUUAGAAAAAUAUAUAUAUGCCCCAAAACCAUUAGACCAAAAGUGUCGGGCUCUAAUUCUCCAUGGGAAGGUAAAAAUGGACUACGUCUAUUUCUUCAAAUUCCUCAUUGGGCUCUAAAAAUAAUUUAAGACGUUGACCAUUUACCUUGAAUAACGUACCUUCGCUAUUUUGAAGUGUGAUAGCUCCGUGGGAUGAUGAAUUGAUUACCUUGAAUGGUCCUUCCCAUUUGCUCCGGAGUUUUCCAUGCCCGCAAAGCUUUACCCUGUAAUUAAAAAGUAAUACCUUAUCUCCGGGUGUGAACUCCUUCUUCUUGAUUCUCUUGUCAUGCCACCUCUUGACUCUUUCUUUGUAGAUUUUUGAAUUGUGAUAUGCCUUCUCUCGCCAUUCUUCCAAUUCUGAUAGUUGCAUUCUUCUAUAAUCUCCAGCAACAUCUAGGUCCAUAUUCCAUCUCUUUAUGGCCCAGUGUGCUUUGAACUCUAGUUCAACAGGUAGAUGGCAAGUCUUCCCGUACACCAAUUGGUAUGGAGACAUUCCAAUUGGGGUCUUGUAUGCUGUCCGGUAUGCCCAGAGUGCAUCGGGUAACUUGUCUUUCCACGCCGUUCCCAUUUCAUUUACUGUCUUCUGAAGAAUAUUCUUGAUUUGUUUGUUGGAAGUCUCUGCUUGGCCACUUGUCUGAGGAUGAUAGGGGGUAGCGACGUUGUGACGGAUUCCAUGUCUUGAUAGAUAUUGCUUGAAGCGUUUAUCGAUGAAGUGUGCUCCUCCAUCACUUAUCACUACUCUGGGAACUCCAAAUCUUGGAAAUAUAAUUUCUUCAAACAUCCUCUUUGAACUGACGUUGUCGGCAUGCUGGCAAGGUAAUGCUUCUACCCACUUGGAGACAUAGUCAACCGCCACCAAAAUGUACUCACACUUCUUUGAUGGAGGAAAUGGACCCAUGUAGUCUAUUCCCCAGACAUCAAAGAGCUCAAUAUGAAGGUUGUUGGUGAGUGGCAUUGCAUCCCUUGUAUUUAUGUUUCCGUGCCUUUGACAUGGCCCACAUCUCCUGAUAUAUUGCUUCGUGUCUUCAUACAUUGUAGGCCAGUAGAAUCCACACUGCCAGAUCUUUGAAUGUGUACGAAAUGCUCCAUAGUGACCUCCAUAUGGUGAUGAAUGACAUCUGUCGAUGAUCUUCCAUCCUUCCUCAGUGGUCACACAUCUCCUGAGUAAGCCAUCAGAGCAUACUCGGAAGAGGUAUGGCUCAUCCCAUAUAUGUGAACGACUUUCUUGAAUAAGCUUCUUCUUGUUUGCUCCUGGUGGUACAUACCCUGAAACCAUAAAAUUAACAACAUCUGCAUACCAGGGGUCAGACCUGUUAAUCCCGUAGAGCAUGUCGUCCCGGAGUGAAUCAUUGAUUGGGGUUUUCUGUGGACUCUUAAAAUACAUUCUAGACAGGUGACCAGCAACAGAAUUUUCUACUCCCUUUUUAUCUUUUAUUUCUAAGUCAAAUUCUUGGAGUAAUAAAAUCCAUCUAAUCAGGCGAGGUUUAGCAUCUUUUUUAGUGAGCAAAUAUUUUAGUGCAGCAUGAUCAGUGUAAACAAUUAUUUUAGCUCCAACUAAAUAAGAUCUAAAUUUAUCAAUGGCAAAGACAACAGCCAGAAGCUCUUUUUCAGUGGUUGCAUAGUUAAAUUGAGCUCCUGUCAAAGUUUUACUGGCAUAAGCAAUUGCAUGAUGCUUCUUAUCUUUAGUUUGUCCCAAUACUGCCCCCACAGCAUAAUCACUAGCAUCACACAUAAUUUCAAAAGGUAACGACCAAUCAGGGGGUUGAAUGAUUGGUGCAGAGAUGAGUGCUUUCUUUAAUAAAUUGAUAGAUGUUAAACAUGCAUCAUAAAAUUCGAAAGGAGCAUCCUUGGCUAGCAAAAGAGUAAGUGGUCUAGCAAUGAAUGAAAAAUCUUUUAUGAAUCUACGAUAAAAACCAGCAUGGCCAAGAAAGCUUCGAAUUCCUUUUAUAUUCACAGGUGGAGGUAGUUGUUCAAUUACUUCAAUUUUAGCUUUGUCUACCUCAAUUCCUCUUUCAGACACUAAGUGUCCCAGCACUAUUCCUUCCCUAACCAUAAAAUGACAUUUUUCCCAAUUAAGGAUUAAGUGCUUUUCUUCACAUCUUUGCAAAACCUUAUCUAAGUUUUCAAGACAACUAUCAAAAGUUUUUCCAUAAACUGAGAAAUCAUCCACGAAAACUUCCAUAAACUCUUCAAUCAUAUCAGAAAAUAUAGACAUCAUGCAUCUUUGAAAAGAUGCUGGUGCAUUACAUAACCAUCUUGCGGAUGUAAAAGUCGUUUUGCUUUGGUAGGCACAAGUUCCAUAUGGGCAUGUAAAAGUCGUUUUGCUUUGAUCAUCAGGAUGAAUCGGGAUCUGGUGAUACCCUGAAUAUCCAUCUAAGAAACAGAAGAACGAAUGGUUCGCUAAUCGCUCUAGCAUCUCAUCCAUGAAAGGUAAAGGAAAAUGAUCCUUUUUCGUGGCGUUGUUCAGUUUUCUAUAGUCUAUGACAAUCCGCCACCCUAUGACGGUGCGUUGAAGAAUUAGCUCGUUCUUUUCAUUUGUAACGACAGUCAUGCCUCCCUUUUUAGACACAACUUGCACUGGGCUCACCCACUCACUGUGCGGCACAGGAUAUAUAAUCCCUGCUUGCAGCAACUUUAGAACUUCCUUUUUAACUACCUCUCUCAUCGCAUUGUUAAGUCUUCGUUGGGGCUCUCGAGAGGGUGAAACAGAAUGAUCUAUCGGAAUACAAUGGGUACAAAUCAUAGGACUGAUUCCUGUAAGAUCUUGGAGUGACUAGCCGAAAACUGAGUGAUGUUUCUCAAGAAUGGUCAUUAAUCGCAGAUUUUGCUCCUGAGUGAGUUUAUCACUAAUGAUCUGAAGCGCCCCUGGUAAACCAGGAACUCAAAUGUCAUACAAUACUAGUCCUAGGAGGCUAGUAACAAAUUUAUUACAUCAGAUAAGUUUUAGCGCAGUAGUCUCGAUAAGCGUGGACAAUGAAGGCACGCUAUAAUAAUAAGACACCAAAAUACAACAUAAGUCCAAAGGACCCAGAAACAAACGAUAUCACAACCGAACAUCUGACAAGUCCCAAUGCCACUGGCUUAGUUGGGUGCAGACACGACCUUACUCGAACGCCACUUCGGAAUCGAAGUCUGGAUCUUCCUCUGUUUAAUAAAGCAAGGGUGAGUACAAAGUACUCAGCAAACCCAACCUUACCCUACUGAAGGGGAUAACAAUAUACAUGCAUAUGGAUAAAUCAAGGAUGAGGCUUAGUUUUAUUUGCAUAAAGCUAUCUUUUUACACAUGCAAGGUUUCAUUUCACAACUACUAUUGCAAAAGAACUCUUUUUCCACAUAUGAUAGUAUUUCUAAAAAUGGGGGUUUGAUCACAAUUUUAAGUGUUGUUGAACCCUUGUUCCCACAACACAAUGGCAGUCAACCAUUUAUUUCCAAAAUCACACUCACUCUCAUGUUUUCACUCAUCCCAACCCAUCUAGUUGUUGAAACCAAACCAUAACCCGUCCAAGACCGCAGACACGGCUAUCUAGAUAGAUUUACACUCUACAGAGGUUAUACACUUUUCCCACAAGUAGGAUACCAUAACUUACACCAUCGUGUAAGCACAGAUCCAUCAAAGUCAUUACCCUCCAUAGCUAAGUAAUGGCGCUCACCACAGGAACACUAAGGCCACAUCUCAUGAUACCACAAUAAUUCACAAAGUUCUUUUCAUAUAUUUCCACAUACAUGUUGACGGUCCUUAAUGCUCAUAUUUAACCAUCAACUAAUCAUAGAAAAGGAUCCAAAUGCAACCAACACCUAGACUUAGGGUUUUAUCUCAUAGAAUUCCACAAGUUUUGGUGUUUGUCUAUUUCUGCAGGGGGUUAUCAGGAAAAACGGAAAAAAAGCCCACACGUCGGGUUUACAUAGAGAUAUUAACGUGCCGCACAAUUAUCUACCAUCUAGAAGAGUCCAGAAGCCACGGGAGUGAACGGGAGACGUAACGGAGUCGGGCACUGGGCGCCCGCCCUCCCUUACUGGGCGCCCGCCCUCCCCCCUGGACCAAUCAAGGUGAAGUUCGGGGAUCAUGCUCCACCGACCCAAUACUUCAAGGAAAACCACACGAUCAAUGUCGGUUUGAUCCGACGGCCCAGAUUCACUUGAAGGGACUAUAAAACCAGACCCUCCUGGCCCCUGGAGAUCAUACCUCUUCUACAGAAUCAAAGCUAGGGUUUCAAUUCUUCAUCCAAGUAGACAGGAUCCCUCUAGUUCUUCUAGUUCUACCUCUAGUUCAUCUAGAUCUAGUUCUAGUUCAUCUAGUUCUAGUUCUAGUUAAUCUAGUUCUAGUUCUAGUUAGUUCUAGUUGUAAUCUAGAAAAUAGGGAGAGAGAAGAGGAGAGCGGAGGAGGAGCCGGAUCUGUCGGAUCUUCCUCAACAUUAUACUUUUGCAGCAUCUGGUUCGUUCUUCAUCGUUCUCCAGGUUCUUCAAUUCAUAACUCCUGAGUUCUUUAAUUACUUUUAUUUACAUUCAAGUUAUUUAUUGGAUUCCCGCUUGCAUCAAGUGCUCUAGUCUUUAUAACGCUAGAUUAGUAAUUAAUAGAUUAGACGUGGUGUUUAGUCUUGCGAUUACCUGGAAUUGCACCCAAUCCUACGGAUUGUUGUGGUAGCCCUAGGGUAGUGACAGCCCUAACGGUCGACGUAUUCCACCACGUUCGGAUCGGUGUUUGUAGGACCGUAGUCAGACCUUCCUAGCCCCCUUCUCAUCUCUUUCUGUGGUUAGUGCUCUGAUGUCCCGAUAUAAAUAAUCUUGAAGUAAUUCUUGAUUCUUAGAUCAACUAGAGAACUCUCAAGAAACUUCCUCUCUUCGCACCAAAAAUAAUUAUAUAGUUAUCCUUGGGCGAUCUUGAAUCUUAAUUAGUACACUCACGUUCCCCGUGGAAAAUCGAUACUCUGGAAUACUCCCGGGUGAAAGCUACAUCGGUAUCCGUGCGCUUGCGGAUUUUUCUGUUUGCGUUUAAAAUACCCAACAAGCUUUCUGGCGCCGUUGCCUGGGAACGGUAGCUGUGCUAGUUUCGAACCAAGUCGUCUGUGUAUCCUUUUUCUUUUCCUUUUUUACCACACUCACCUUAUCAUUUUCACCAUACCACAUGGAUUUCACUCUAAGCAUUAAUGAGCAUGGAAUUUAUUUCAUAGCCACUUCAUUUACUCCAUGCUCAUAUGCAACAUCUUCACAAUCCAUUGGUCUCUCCAACAUCACCACAUUCGAGAUCUCCAACCCCCACUUCCUUUCUAUUUAUAAAAACUUUAAAAGGGCGGUUGUCGAUGCAUAUGUCUAUAUUAAAUAUUGCAGAUCUCGUUGAAUUGAUCUUGAUAUAGGUCAGCGUUGGAGGGGAAACCACUUCGCCGACAUAAAUUGAUGGUUUCCCAAGGACAAGCUUAGUGUCCUAAAACAAGCACUGAUUAGAUCGUAACAUGAGCUUUUAAGUAUUUGCAACAUUACCUUGUGUAUUGAGCAUAUAAGGAUAAUUGUAAAAAAAUUCCUUCGGGUAUUCUUGUCACUAACCUUUCUAGGUUUGGAGCAAGAAGAUCGGAUGAAUGACAAGCACAAGGUAUGUCCAACCAAUCAUCAUACAACAUUGAAUUAAAUUCAUCCAAACUUGAAUUUUGCAAAAUUCAAGCUUGGGGGAGUACUUUAUAUAAAAACAUUAUUUGCCAUGUUGCUAUGUUGGUUGUCCCUACCUUUGGGACAUGCUCAAUUUGUUAAAUAGUAAUCACACUACUUCAUCUCCACUUGAGUAGAUCUCUAUAAAAGCCAUCACGCUACCUUUGUUUAUCCUAGUAAGUGUUAGUUUGGAAGUACUGUACAUACUUCUAUUGGUUUUUAAAUUAAGCAUGGUGCUUAGGUUAAACAGCCUUCCUUAAUCUAAUUAGACAUGGAGUCUAGUUUGGUUAUUGAACUAAAAACUGCUUGUGUAGACAUUGGUAUAUUUUGUUGGACUAACUCCUGCAGGAAAACUUUCAAUAUCGACCUGGGAAGUCCUGAGAUAAACUCAUAUUGGAGACAAAGAGAGACACACAUGAAGUUUAACAAUUUACUCAAGGAAGGCAUAGCUCACAAGAGAUGAUCCAUGGAGGUGCCACAAACACGAUGCACAACCGCUAAGAGAGGAAAGCUUCCACAACGUGAUACUGUACCAUCACUCUUCAAGUAAGUUAUGAUCUUAUUAUCCAUCAACUUUGUUUUGCUCACUAUGCUUAAGGUUAGAGAAGAACAAAUACACUUUUGGUUCUGUUGGUGUUUUCCACCAACAGGGCCCAUGCACUUGAUCUCUGCCUUGUCUCUAUGAGUAGGUACACUUCGAGCAAAAUAUGAAGGAGUUUUACAACUCCCAGACUCCACCAAGUGAAUAACCUAGAUAUAUGAGCACAAACACGCUGGAGAUACUGGACACUCAUGCAAACACUGCCCUGAGAUGCUUGAGGAUGUAACUACUGGAGUAACCCCGUUGUGGAAGUAAUUACUGACCUUCUGCCGGUCAAGAGAGACAAUCUAGGACGCCCCGUCAUCCCAAUCUCCAUCGGCGUGGUGGACUUCCUAGAAGCACUCUGCGACUUUGGCUCCAGCGUCAACAUUAUACCUAGGGGAAGCCAUUCCUGAACACCUCGGGAGCUUUCAUCUACGUUAGUGCUGCCAAGAUCAGUUUCUACAUCAAGGGGAGGAAGGAGACGUUUUCCUUCAAGAAACAAGACUACACAAAUCCCAGAGCAAUCCCGACAUGAACCAAGGAAGAGGACCAACAGGAGGAACAAGAACAAGUAAAUGUGUACCGAGUCAGCUAAGAUGGUCACUGCAGCUCAAGGAGGUCAAGAUCGUCAACUCAAGUCACCUUUCUUGAUCAAGAAGGACGACCCUGGUGUCCCAAGCAUCGAGUGCACAAUCAACGGAUAUUCUUUUCAGAAGACACUCUACGACACCGGAUCUAACGUCAACAUAAUGGCCGCAGUCACUUAUCAGCUCCUGCAUGGAACCAUGUCCCUACAACCAACAUACAUUCCGCUCCAGAUGGCAGAUCAGACAUUCUGAAAGAUUGAAGGUUAUUGACAUGGGAGAAGACGAAUACAAUCCACCCAUCACCCUUGGAAGACCGUUCCUCAGCACUGUUAAAGCAAUCAUCUACAUUGGAACUGGAGAAGUCCACAUGCACUUCCCCUUUGAGAAGGUACGCUGCUAUUUUACUGACCCUAACCAUAUGGUUGAAGACUCUAAGUAGGUCAGGACAAGAAGAAGACGACGCAACCGCAACUAGAGGAGGCAAAUCAUCAAGGACGGAUGGGCAGACUACGAAGGAGAAGUAGUGAGGUCUGAAGACAUACAGCUUGAACAGAACUGUCCUGAGGAGACCGUAGCACCGAGUCAGGUGUGGAGAGAGAAGAUAGUUAUACACGAAGAGCAGGCGUCGCCGGAACCACCGACUACGCCAUCCAGCGAAUCCCAGGACGAAUGAGAAAAUGGAGAGUCCCGUUCGGAGGACUUAAAAACACCGAACGCCUUGCCAAGAGGUAAACUUGGUAGUUAUCUUUUUCCUUUCAAUUUAGUUUGCUUAGUUAAUCAGGUUCACAUCAUCUUAAAAAGAAAAUAAAAAUGUUAAAAAUAGUAAGCCCCAUGUGAGUAUGCUCAUGGCAUAAAACCCAUAAGUACAUUCACUGUGGUGGCGUAAAAAUAAAUAUAUAUUCCUGUCCUGUAAAAAUGAAAAUAUAAAUAAGAUUGUGAUCCUACUAAAGAGAGUAACAUUUAUUGAGGAGGCUCAACAUCAUAAAGGCUAGAUAUUUAUGCUAACACUUAACUAGUUCCACAAAGCUUUGUUGUCUAUUUGAGCUCCACAGAAUUCAAGGAUCAAAGAAGACUAGCAGACGGAUGACAUCCUAAUCACUGUCAGGGUGCUGCUGACAUUCAAAUACACCUCCACCACCUACUAGCUACAUCAGAAGAAAUUACGUCAAAAUCUAGCUUGGGGGAGAGCACCCCCAUUUAUUCAGCUAAGUGUUCUACUCGCAUUUAUAUUUUACUCAAAUAAUAAAAAGAUGCAUAAUCAUAAAAACCCAAAUAAAGAUUUUGUGCUUAUAUAUAUAUAUAUCUUUGCUUAGCUUGCUAAAUAAAUAAAUAAAGUUUGCUAUGAACCCUCAUGAUAAGCUCUCAUAUGGAAAUGAUGAAUAGUUGCUCUGCCAUGACUAGUUCCUAAUAUUGAAAUCUCUCUCAAGUUUAGGCAUAACUGUUAUGAAUUAAGAUUUGCUCUAAACCUGAACUUGUGGGGAGAGUACUUGAUCUGAAGUCUAAGUCGUUAACGGAUAUGAUAUGGGAAGGUUGAGCUGCUGUUUAUCUGUUACUAGAGAUGCUAGAAUUCUGGAGAAUUUUAUCUUUGAAAAAAUCUUUAAAAUGUUGCAUGAUGAGUUCCUGUAUGAUGAGAGUUUAAAUUCCUACCACAGCCAGAUAUACAUGCUUGCUAGACUUUGAGCCACACAUUUACUUUUUACUGCUUAUGAGCAUUGAGUGUGGUCAAGUUGUGUAGACCCUUAGGAGCUUGUCAUGUGGUUAAAUCAAGAUUCACUUGCACGUUCACUCACACAUGCUGCUUCUACUUAGGAAGUACCAUCCACAUAUAUCCAUUUCCAUCUCCAGAACCACCCAAAAAUAUUCUACUCCUAAACUGGGAGAGAAUAGCCAAAAACAUUUCUGUUUUUCCCCUAUGAAAUAAAUGCUCAAGUUAUCUUGGUUACUACCACUUGCUACAUUAUUUCAAGAGAUGAGUGCUCUAAAAAAAAGAGAAAAAAAAGAGAAAAAAAAAGAUACGAGGAAAUAAAAAGGGGCAAGUGCCCGGAACCUCGAAAGAAAAGAAAAAGUGAGACGAGAGGUAAAAAUGGACAAGUGUCCGACAGUAGAAUUAGGGGUACAAGAUACCCACUUGAGAAAAAAGAAAAAAAAUAUAGAGCAUCUCAUUCUCCUCAAAAAGUUUCAAAAGAGCAAGGAAGGUAUGUAUCCCCUCAAAAGAGCAAAAGUAGGAUUAGACUUUCACCAUUGUUAUCACCAUCAUCACCAUACACCAUUCAUUCGCCACACAUGCACAUCUUGAUUUGACUUAUUGACUUGUUCUUCUGGAUCCAUGGUUUGACUAUGCAAUAAAUGUCUUGUAAGUAUGUAUUAGUUGUCUCCCACCUAUGAGCUCCAGAUAUUAAAGCCUUAUUAGAGUAGGGUGAGAGAAAAGGCAAUGCCACUAAGCCUCAUACCAAAAAUACCACAUACUUUGAGAGAAUGCAUACACUAUUACUGCCUUGGUAAGGAUCCAGAAAUACCACAAAAGAGAGACUAGAGAGAGUCAUACAAGGAAUCUCUGAGUUUUAUUUGAAAAUCUGCAAAAACUCCAGAGCUAUAGUUAAUCGAAGAAUAAGAGACAUGGUGCUUGACUAGACUGUUCUAUCUUUUAACUACUCAAGACAGAAGUGACGGUUACAAGUCCCAUGGUGAAAGGUAAAUGAGUAAGUUUUAAGUCUUAACAGUUUACUCUAACCAGAGAUGAGAUCUUGUUUAAACGCAUGUGUAUCUUUAAGUUAUGAAACCACUGCAGAAACUCUUGAGUUUAUCUUUGCUUAGGGACGAGCAAAGGUUAAGCUUGGGGGAGCUUGUUGACGGUCCUUAAUGCUCAUAUUUAACCAUCAACUAAUCAUAGAAAAGGAUCCAAAUGCAACCAACACCUAGACUUAGGGUUUUAUCUGACAGAAUUCCACAAGUUUUGGUGUUUGUCUAUUUCUGUAGGGGGUUAUCAGGAAAUACGGAAAAAAGGCCCACACGUCGGGUUUACAUAGAGAUAUUAACGUGCCGCACAAAUUUCUACCAUCUAGAAGAGUCCAGAAGCCACAGGAGCGAACGGGAGACGUAACGUAGUCGGGCACUGGGCGCCCGCCCUCCCUUACUGGGCGCCCGCCCUCCCCCCUGGACCAAUCAGGGUGAAGUUCGGAGAUCAUGCUCCGCCGACCUAAUACGUCAAGGAAAACCACACGAUCAAUGUCGGUUUGAUCCGACGGCCCAGAUUCACUUGAAGGGACUAUAAAACCAGACCCCCCUGGCCCCUGGAGAUCAUACCUCUUCUACAGAAUCAAAGUUAGGGUUUCAAUUCUUCAUCCAAGUAGAGAGGAUCCCUCUAGUUCUUCUAGUUCUAUCUCUAGUUCAUCUAGAUCUAGUUCUAGUUCAUCUAGUUCUAGUUCUAGUUCCUCUAGUUCUAGUUCUAGUUCUAGUUAGUUCUAGUUGUAAUCUAGAAAAUAGGGAGAGAGAAGAGGAGAGCGGAGGAGGAGUCGGAUCUGUCGGAUCUUCCUCAACAUUAUAAUUUUGCAGCAUCUGGUUCGUUCUUCAUCGUUCUCCAGGUUCUUCAAUUCAUAACUCCUGAGUUCUUUAAUUACUUUUAUUUACAUUCAAGUUAUUUAUUGGAUUCCUGCUUGCAUCAAGUGCUCUAGUCUUUAUAACGCUAGAGUAGUAAUUAAUAGUUUAGACGUGGUGUUUAGUCUUGCGAUUACCUGGAAUUGCACCCAAUCCUACGGAUUGUUGUGGUAGCCCUAGGGUAGUGACAGCCCUAACGGUCGACGUAUUCCACCACGUUCGGAUCGGUGUUUGUAGGACCGUAGUCAGACCUUCCUAGCCCCCUUCUCAUCUCUUUCUGUGGUUAGUGCUCUGAUGUCCCGAUAUAAAUAAUCUUGAAGUAAUUCUUGAUUCUUAGAUCAACUAGAGAACUCUCAGGAAACUUCCUCUCUUCCCACCAAAAAUAAUUAUAUAGUUAUCCUUGGGCGAUCUUGAAUCUUAAUUUGUACACUCACGUUCCCUGUGGAAAAUCGAUACUCUGGAAUACUCCCGGGUGAAAGCUACAUCGGUAUCCGUGCGCUUGCGGAUUUUUUCUGUUUGCGUUUAAAAUACCCAACAAUACAUCACUUAGUGUCCCAUUGCCCACCUGCCUCCAGGUGGUUGCCAUACUAACUAGAGGGAUUUAGGCUAAGCCUUUCCCAUGCAAGGCGAGUGGUUGUACGAUAAAUGAGUUAGGCAAGAUGAAUCAUCAACUCAGUCCUUAAUCGAGACAAGGCGGAUAUCUUCACACUUAACCCCACAAGGUAUAAGCCACAACACCAAGGCAUCCCCAAAAGAGAUCCCAUCUGCCCCAUCACUAUAGUAAUCACAUCUAUAACUUGUUCAUUAACCCUUUCACAAUACCCACAAUUUAUUUUCACCACUCACGCAGUUUUGUUUUUUGUAUUUGAGAAAAUGUAGUGAUGAGUAUCCAGGAUGAGUGACAAUUCCUAAGCAUACUAAAUAAUAAUAUUUCUGUCAUAGCAUAUUAUUUGUUCCUAGGUUCGAAUAAGACAAUUACUGGGUAAUAUUAAUUCAAGGAUGGUUAUUCAACAGGUUUUAACUAAUCAGCGAAAAUACUUCGUACAUAUAUCGUACAUGCAAUAUUUAAAACGGCUUCCACGGGUUGUGUUUAAAAAUAGGAUCAAUAUGCAUCAAAGGAAAUUGGUUGGACUUGCCUCCGUCGGUGUCCUCGGCAAACUCCUGCUGACACUCCGGGUCCUCGGCGUCAAACUCGCGGUACUCGUCUCCAACGUCCGCGUUUUCCGGCUCGUUCACUCCGUCAGCUAAAAUACGCGACGACCGACACAGACAACAAGCACGGAGACACAGACAAAUAUAAGGAGAGAUAUAGAAAAAAAUACUAUAGAAAGAUAGAGAAGAGCAAGGAGAUGCUCAUGAGCUGCCCACCUCGUCUUGCGACGACAGUCGAGCUCGGCUUGUGCGUAUGGCCGUAUACGUUAUACGCGAAGUGAGAGCGAGUGAGCGUGUGAGCGAGCGUGAGUGAACGUGCUACUUUGGGUGUCGAUAGUGAGCACCCGAGACUGACUUUUUAUAGGCCAGAGGAGUGAGGUUAUGCCUCUGGUGCUCAGCUUCGUGCCAUUAGAAUUGCUACUGUAGUGCAUGGCUACACAGGAUGACAGGACGGUGGACGGUGCCUAAAUUUACAUGCAAAUGGCAAUGUCUCAUUUGCAUGCACGGUGCAUACAAAUGGUCGGUGCAUGCUUGUCCUACAUGCAUGCAUGCAUGCAUAAGAUAUAUUCAUAUGUGCGGGUGCACUACUAUGCUUUCUUGCAUGUAAGUUUGCUGGUACUUGCUGUUAUUUGUGCGCGCAAAAUAUGGAUGGUGCCUAGUUGAGCGUUGUGACUUGCUAUCUUUUUGUACAGCAAAAGAGGAGCAGGGAAAAGACAAUAGGUGGGGCCCGCAUGUCGUGGUGCGCGUGCGAGCGAGUGCGCUCGGCGAGGGGGCCGGGCGCGAGUGCGCUGCGGCGCUGAUGGUGGUGGGGUCGGCGCCGUUGCCGGGUAUCGGGCAAAGCGAGUGUUGGCAUUUCUUAACGUCAUCACUAAGAACAGGGUUUAAUCCGUCCUCAGCAACGAUGUUAGAAAUGUCGUGAUAACACUUACUAAUGCAAUCACCAAGAUUAGAGUAUAAAUCUAUCCUAAGCAACGGUGCCAGAAAUGCUUGUUAGCGUUUCUUAGCGUCGCUACCUAGAAUAGGGUUCUGCUAUACUCAUGAUAAUGACAUUGGCAGUGUUAUAUUGGCAGAUCCGUAGCGUCACCACCUUGAAUAGGAAGCUAGAUCUACCUUCCCGAUAAUGGCGCCUUAUUACCGUUAGGGUAGGGUUCGAGUUCUUAUUCAUGCUAGUGGCACUAGGAUUGCCAUGUUGGUAUUCCUUAACAAGUCACUAGCUCGGCACAUGUCUAGCAACAAUGUUAAGUAUAUACCAGGGUGAUAGUUCCUUAGGUUUGGACUUUAAGUACCGCAAGCAGACGGGAAUUACCGUGUAGCAUAUCAACCCAGGGAUUUACCGAGUGUCGUAUUUAUAGGUUCGCUCUAAGGAAGGCUUAAUAUGUUAAGGAUUCUAAGAUAAGCAUAGAUCAAAGUAAUUAUGAUAGCAAUAAUGGAAUCAAAAGUCAUAGCAGGUGAUAAACAUUUAUAUGUAGAAUAGUGAUCCAUCACAAUCUAGGCAUGGCAUAUGGGCUAAGGAAUAAAAAGAGACUAAAAGAAUGAAUUGAAUCAAAGAAUAAACAAACAACCUAUUGGAGCAGGUGUGGUCCUAGAUACAGAUCAUGUCAUAGAACAAGUUAAUCAUGUAAUUAUACAACUUAGAUCUAGUCCUGUGUUUAGAUAGUUUGGGAGGUUACGCGAGUACUGGUUUGCCAGCAACCUCCACAACUAUUUAGACUCCUACACACUAGCCGAACAUGGGGGAAUGCCAACGACGGACAGGGCUGUCACCACCUGCCGCCAUCCCCACAACCGUGGACUAGGACAAUGCAUUUACCCGGCCUUUACACCCAAGCACCAUGCUUACAUGCAAAGAACCUACUCGGACUCCCCCGGGUGCCUGACCCUUUGGAUCGGCAGGUAAGAAGCCCGAGCCUACUCAAAAGAGCAUGAUAAACCCCCAUCUUCACACAAAGCUAUUUCUAGGCAAUUAAUUAACAUGAAGCAAUUAGACUAAAGUCCUAAGUGAGAAUAAUACAACAUACACCUAGCACUAGUUCAUAUAAUACACUACUAGCCCUAGGGUAGCAUUAUACUAUAAGAACUAUAUACUAAAAUGUAUGUCAUAUCAUUUUCACUAGAACUAUAUUCUAGUUCAUAUGCUAGCAUCAUAAAACAGGGCCUAUGAUCUAUGUCAUAUACCAUAGCAUAAGAACUAUACUCUAGUUCAUAUGAAGAACUAUAUCGGACAUGAUAAGGCAUGGACUUGGAGUAAAGAUAUUCUUUAUUCAUACCCAAGUUUCUCUCUAAGGAGCCAAGCCCUCCUUGAUAGCUCACCCAACUCUCUCUCUAAAAGCUAAAAGGAAAAACUAAGAAGAGGUAGUGCCCAAGUGCCUUGAAGGUGGAGUGUUGAUAGUGAAUGUGAUGAGAUGAAUGGAGCCUCCCUCUCCCCGUCCUUAAAUAGGUGGGGAAGGUCGGCUCCCCAGGGUGUACACUGCAAUUUGCACGCGGGGUCUGCGGGAGGAUAGGCUCAGCACCGCCUCUGCGAAAGGCGGUGCCGUGAUGGGCUGGGCCAGGGUCGGCCGACCCUAGGGGGCGGCCACCCCCUGGUUGGCCCCGCUGGCCCCGGCCCGAAGCCCGUUGCCUUCCUCUCGGGCCCCUGAGUCUAGAUCUACCUGCAAAUUGAUGCACUUCUAUAUUGGGCUUUUGGGUACUUGUUUAUUUGCGCAUUUUUUGACGUGUCGGAUUGCGCCUUUUUAUUUGCUUUCCACCUGUAUGCCUGUAUAUGAUCUGCAAAACACAACUUGCACUACAUGUGGAACUUGGUAAGCAUUUAAUAAGUAUAUGUGGAACUUGCACUAUAUGUGUAACUUGGUAAGCAUUUAAUACAUGCUUUUCUUCCUUUGCAUGGACUAUGUUGGCGGGGUAAAUAUGUCAUUAAGAACUGCCAACAAACUCCCCAAAGCUUACCCCUUGCUCGUCCUCGAGCAAGAAGCUAAGAUCUUGGUUGUUGAUCAGGAGUUGCUACAAUAUUUUCACUUCUAUCCAGUACAUACCUUCAAACAUGAAUACUCCUUUGAAUUUUGAACAGAUAUGUCUUGGGGCUUAUUGCUCAUACCUUGAGUCCUUAAGCAUUUGCAGGAUGGAUUUGAUGAGAUCGAGCGCUAUAUCCCUAGUUCUUUACUUCACUUUUGUUCCGGAGUUUUUUUUUAUUUUCAAAACUUAGCACAUUUAUUUGUCAAAUUAAACAAUGGAUCCAAAGAGAAAGUUAAUCAUACCAUUGAAUUUUUGAAAACUUUUUCUUUUCCAUCAUUCUCUUUUUGUCUAUUAGAGGCACAUGGCUAUGUGGCUAAUUCUACUGUUGGGCACUUGCCCAUUUUUUUUAUUUUUAUUUUUUUUGAGGUUUCGGACACAUGUCCCUUUUUAUUUCCUCGUGAUCUUUCUUUUUGAGGUUUUGGACACAUGUCCCUUUUUAUUUCCUCGGAUGCUUUUUUUUUGUUUUUCAUAGCCAUAUGUCUUCUAACAAACUUUUGAGAUGAUAACACAAUGAAAUAUUUUUGUUUUCAAUGGUAUGACAACCUCUCAAAGGGUCAACAAAGCAUAAUCUAACUCAAUGUGAUUAUUUUAUUUUUGUAAAAACUCCAGAACUCUAGCGUUGUUUAGAACAGGAUACUAGCAGCUCAGAUCAUCACAAAUAUAUCCAUUAAUUACUUUAGACUUUAGAUAGAGCAUUUUGCAACCCACGCAUUUAAUCAUUUUAUUAAUUUUGAGAAUUCAAGGUUGAAACUAGAUACUGGAAAGAAAUUACGAUAGAGCAACUAUUCAUCAUUUCAACAAGGAAGAAGCAUAUAUCUUACAUCACAUAUAAGAGUGGAAUUAUAUUUUUGUCUUUUUAGCAAUUUUUCAUUUUUUUUAUAUGCAAUAAUUAAAACAUGAAUUUAACUAAUGGAAAUUUCAUAAAGUAAACAUGCUAAUUUAAAAUUAAGGAUGCAUGAAAAUAAAUAUGCAAUGCAGAUAACCUAGGGAUUGGGGGUCCUCCCCCAAGCUAGCUUCUGGCCUACUGAUCGGGGUUAUACCCCAUGUACCGCCAGAAGUCUUGGGACUGUUUCAGCAGCUGAUCUUGGCGAGCUUGCAUUUCUUCUUGCUGCUGCUGGUGCCAGGCCUGUUGUUGCUGUUGCCAUAGCAACCCUUGCUGGUGCCACUCCACGGCCUGCUGGUGGUCCGCAUCGGUGGUUUGGAUGUGUUGUUGGAGAGUAUCUUGGAUCUCAUCCGUGCGCACCACCAGUCCCCCAAGCUGAGCUUGGAGGCGCUCCAAGUCUGUUCGGCCUACUGUGGAAGCCAAAGGAUGUUCUUCUGGUGAUUCGUCCCUCCAGCGCGAUUGUUGUUCCCAAGCUCUGGAAUCCGCCUCACCCCACCCCUCAACACCUUGUGUCGGCAUGGGUGUGUCCCACCCCGACUGGUAGAUCGGCUGUGUAUAGGAGGGUGGUGGCUGGGAGCU
rnacentral:lncRNA from 1 species